rnacentral:rRNA from 1 species
GGGUUGUGAGGUUAAGCGACUAAGCGUACACGGUGGAUGCCCUGGCAGUCAGAGGCGAUGAAGGACGUGCUAAUCUGCGAUAAGCGUCGGUAAGGUGAUAUGAACCGUUAUAACCGGCGAUUUCCGAAUGGGGAAACCCAGUGUGUUUCGACACACUAUCAUUAACUGAAUCCAUAGGUUAAUGAGGCGAACCGGGGGAACUGAAACAUCUAAGUACCCCGAGGAAAAGAAAUCAACCGAGAUUCCCCCAGUAGCGGCGAGCGAACGGGGAGCAGCCCAGAGCCUGAAUCAGUAUGUGUGUUAGUGGAAGCGUCUGGAAAGGCGCGCGAUACAGGGUGACAGCCCCGUACACAAAAAUGCACAUGCUGUGAGCUCGAUGAGUAGGGCGGGACACGUGGUAUCCUGUCUGAAUAUGGGGGGACCAUCCUCCAAGGCUAAAUACUCCUGACUGACCGAUAGUGAACCAGUACCGUGAGGGAAAGGCGAAAAGAACCCCGGCGAGGGGAGUGAAAAAGAACCUGAAACCGUGUACGUACAAGCAGUGGGAGCACGCUUAGGCGUGUGACUGCGUACCUUUUGUAUAAUGGGUCAGCGACUUAUAUUCUGUAGCAAGGUUAACCGAAUAGGGGAGCCGAAGGGAAACCGAGUCUUAACUGGGCGUUAAGUUGCAGGGUAUAGACCCGAAACCCGGUGAUCUAGCCAUGGGCAGGUUGAAGGUUGGGUAACACUAACUGGAGGACCGAACCGACUAAUGUUGAAAAAUUAGCGGAUGACUUGUGGCUGGGGGUGAAAGGCCAAUCAAACCGGGAGAUAGCUGGUUCUCCCCGAAAGCUAUUUAGGUAGCGCCUCGUGAAUUCAUCUCCGGGGGUAGAGCACUGUUUCGGCAAGGGGGUCAUCCCGACUUACCAACCCGAUGCAAACUGCGAAUACCGGAGAAUGUUAUCACGGGAGACACACGGCGGGUGCUAACGUCCGUCGUGAAGAGGGAAACAACCCAGACCGCCAGCUAAGGUCCCAAAGUCAUGGUUAAGUGGGAAACGAUGUGGGAAGGCCCAGACAGCCAGGAUGUUGGCUUAGAAGCAGCCAUCAUUUAAAGAAAGCGUAAUAGCUCACUGGUCGAGUCGGCCUGCGCGGAAGAUGUAACGGGGCUAAACCAUGCACCGAAGCUGCGGCAGCGACACUAUGUGUUGUUGGGUAGGGGAGCGUUCUGUAAGCCUGUGAAGGUGUGCUGUGAGGCAUGCUGGAGGUAUCAGAAGUGCGAAUGCUGACAUAAGUAACGAUAAAGCGGGUGAAAAGCCCGCUCGCCGGAAGACCAAGGGUUCCUGUCCAACGUUAAUCGGGGCAGGGUGAGUCGACCCCUAAGGCGAGGCCGAAAGGCGUAGUCGAUGGGAAACAGGUUAAUAUUCCUGUACUUGGUGUUACUGCGAAGGGGGGACGGAGAAGGCUAUGUUGGCCGGGCGACGGUUGUCCCGGUUUAAGCGUGUAGGCUGGUUUUCCAGGCAAAUCCGGAAAAUCAAGGCUGAGGCGUGAUGACGAGGCACUACGGUGCUGAAGCAACAAAUGCCCUGCUUCCAGGAAAAGCCUCUAAGCAUCAGGUAACAUCAAAUCGUACCCCAAACCGACACAGGUGGUCAGGUAGAGAAUACCAAGGCGCUUGAGAGAACUCGGGUGAAGGAACUAGGCAAAAUGGUGCCGUAACUUCGGGAGAAGGCACGCUGAUAUGUAGGUGA